rnacentral:rRNA from 1 species
CAAAGCACUUUGAAGAGAGAGUUAAAGAGGACGUGAAACCGGUAAGGUGGAAACGGAUAGAGUCGGCGUAUCAUUCAAUUAUUCAGUUACAUUAUUUUUAUGUUGUGACCUCUGAGCUCCAGAUUGGGACAGAGGGAAUCAGCAUAAUUUUUUGUGGUGCAUUUACUUGAUUGGUGCUUGGGGAUGUUUGAGGCAGAUUUGUUUCCGUCGUUUUGAGGCCAGCUUGCUGGUACCCAAACGGUGUUAGCAUUUUUUGUCUUGGGCAUUUGAGUAUGGCUCACGUGUAUUUAUUGGACAGAUCUGAGUGUAAGUUACGGUCGCAUGCGACACGUGCUUUUCAAUUAGUUCGGUCCAGUUAAUGCUCUCGUACUCGUUCCCCAUGUAAAAGCCGGUCAUCUAUCCGACCCGUCUUGAAACACGGACCAAGGAGUUUAUCGUGUGCGCAAGUUUUUGGGUGUUAAAAACUUAAAAGCGAAACGAAAGUAAAUGACUCUUUAGAGUCUGAUGUGCGAUCUUGUAAAAAAGUGUAGCAUGGCCCCAUUCUAACUGUUUACAGUAGGGUGGCGGAAGAGCGUACGCGGUGAGACCCGAAAGAUGGUGAACUAUUCCUGAGCAGGACGAAGCCAGAGGAAACUCUGGUGGAAGUCCGAAGCGGUUCUGACGUGCAAAUCGAUCGUCUGACUUGGGUAUAGGGGCGAAAGACUAAUCGAACCAUC